rnacentral:rRNA from 1 species
UCGGAUCGGAGUCUGCAACCCGACUCCGUGAAGCUGGAUUCGCUAGUAAUCGCGCAUCAGCCAUGGCGCGGUGAAUACGUUCCCGGGCCUUGUACACACCGCCCGUCAAGCCAUGGAAGCCGGAGGCGCUUGAAGUGCGUUGCCGCAAGGCGCGCCCUAGAGCGAAACCGGUGACUGGGGCUAAGUCGUAACAAGGUACC